CAUGAGUGUAAAUGCCCACUGUCGAAAAAGGAUAUAUGUUUCUCCUUGUUGUGUUACAGGAGAACCUGAAGAAGCUCAUGGAGAUCUAUGAGAUGCUGGGAUGCGAGGAGGACAUUGUUAACCCGUCCAACGAGCUCAUUAAAGAAGGACAGAUCCUAAAGCUGGCCGCCAGAAACACCUCGUCCAUGGAGAGAUACCUCUUCCUGUUUAACAACAUGUUGCUGUA